UACAGAGGUCCCAAGCGUUGUUCGGAUUCACUGGGCGUAAAGGGUGCGCAGGUGGUCGGGUAAGUCUGACGUGAAAUCCCGCAGCUUAACUGCGGAAUGGCAUUGGAUACUAUUCGGCUAGAGGGUUGGAGGGGGACUGGAAUUCUCGGUGUAGCAGUGAAAUGCGUAGAUAUCGAGAGGAACACCAGUGGCGAAGGCGAGUCCCUGGACAACUCCUGACGCUGAGGCACGAAGCUAGGGGAGCAAACAGG
rnacentral:rRNA from 1 species